UACGAAGGGGGCUAGCGUUGCUCGGAAUCACUGGGCGUAAAGGGUGCGUAGGCGGGUCUUUAAGUCAGGGGUGAAAUCCUGGAGCUCAACUCCAGAACUGCCUUUGAUACUGAAGAUCUUGAGUUCGGGAGAGGUGAGUGGAACUGCGAGUGUAGGGGUGAAAUUCGUAGAUAUUCGCAAGAACACCAGUGGCGAAGGCGGCUCACUGGCCCGAUACUGACGCUGAGGCACGAAAGCGUGGGGAGCGAACAGG
rnacentral:rRNA from 1 species